UAUAAACGUUCUUCGUUUUACGCCGACCAUUUAAACUGUACCAUUUGUUGUAAUGAUCUAAUAUAACAUUACCCGAGGUUUAUCAUUCUUAUGUAAUUUACUUUUGAAAUAAUACAGUUUAAAUGCAAAGGCAAGGAAAAUGUGAUUUAGAUAUAAAAAGAAGAUAGAAAUGAUGAAACUGGUUUAUUUGGAGAAAACCACAGCCUUUCAAGCAGAAUAAAACGCCAAAUAUCAUAAAGAAAUCAACACUUAUAUUUUUCUAUUUCUUUUAUAAUAUUUAAAAAUAUUAUAAAUACAAUAAUCUUAGUGGUAAGAGAAGCGUGGUGUGAAACUGUAAAAAAUUCUCCCGUUACAUAACAAUGACAUCAUUUCUAAAUUCAUACAAUGGUUAAUGGUAUUUUCUUUCUAUUUGGAACUUCUUGCUCUAACGCACCUUUAUCGGACUUGAUUCAUGACGGCUAAGUCUCACUUGCUUACUGAUACAAUGUUUUUCCCACGACUGAUAAAAUCAAUGUCAGUCACAGCUAGUUUAUGACCAGACAGGGAAAUUAUAACUUUUCCGGAUGGAAAAUAUUUACACUUGUAAAUAUCCGCCAAGUGGCCCUCUAAAAGGAGCUGAACAACAUAAGAUUA